rnacentral:lncRNA from 1 species
ACUUUAGGAGACAACGGGUUUUAUUUUUUAACACAUUUAAUAAUCACUUUAUUAAUUACAACUGUACAAAGUGUAUAAAACAUAAUACAGCAUUCACAACACAACCCACUGUCAUGGGAUAAACUUUCUCAACAUUACAGCAGAACAUUAGUAAAGCGUAAACUGCAGUCAGGUCACUUUUUACAGGGCUGGAAGUAGCACAGAGAACCUGUAUUACAGUGAAAAUGUGGACACUGGGUCAGUAUCGUGUUAGUACAAUAUAUAUAUACAGUCUUAAAAAUGUAGAUGUAAGCUUUACAUUUAGGCUGCAAACAUUUGUGAUUAUGGUCAUUUCUGCUAGUCCUCUUAAGGGAUUCUAAUACUAUGUUAGCACUAAGCUAAUGGAAAUUCAGAUCAAUGAUUUUGGCCCUUCUUGCUCAAACACAGACAUAGAAAGCUUGUAAAAUACGUUACAUAUUUGAUCUUAAAUUUCAAACGGACACAAACAUAUAUUUUAUCAUAUAUGUUACAGUUUUACAGGAGAGCCCAGCACAGUCUUUCAGCAGAUCCCUAUGAUCUUAAAUCUAAAAAAUGAGGGGGUUUGGUAAAGGUUCUUUAACUAAUAGUGUUGUAGUAUUCAAGUUCAAUCGUCUCAGCCAUAUUUGGCUUGUCUCAUUAUUCUUGUCUCAUAUUUGCAGUUUCAUUAUUGGUCUUGACUCAAUAGGUCCCUGUCUUGGUCUUGACUCAGUUUGGAUAUAUCCAGUCUUGGACUUGACUCAGACUGAAUAUGUCCUGGUCUUGUCUCAGACUUAACAUGUCCCGGGAUUUGUCUUGACUCUGACUCAAUAGGUCCCUGUCUUGGUCUUGACUCAGACUCUAUAUGUCCCGGUUUCAGUGUUGAAUCAGAUUGGAUAUAUCCAGUCCUGGUCGUGUCUCAGACUCAACAUGUCCUGGUCUUGGACUAGACUCAGACUCAGUGUUUCCCGGUCUUGGUCUUAACUUGCACUGGAUAUGUCCUGGUCUUAGUCUUGAUUUGGACUGUAUAUGUCCUGGUUUUGGUGUUGAAUCUUGUCUCAGACUCAACAUGUCCAGGUAUUGGACCUCACUAGGACUCUAUAUGUCCCGGUAUUGGUCUUGAGUUGGACUGGAUAUGUCGCAGUCCUGGACUUGACUCGGACUGCCCCGGUCUUGACUCAGACUUGCUAUGUCCUGGGCUCGGUCUUAACUCAGACUCAAAAUGUCCUUGACUCAGACUUAACAAGUCUCAGUCUUAGUCUUGACUCAGUUUGGAUAUAUCCAGUCUUGGACUUGACUCCGACGGAAUAUGUCCUGGUCUUAGUCUUGAAUUGGACUGUAUAUGUCCUGGUUUUGGUGUUGAAUCUUGUCUCAGACUCAACAUGUCCAGGUAUUGGACCUCACUAGGACUUAAUAUGUCCCGCUAUUGGUCUUGAGUUGGAC